rnacentral:lncRNA from 1 species
CAGCUGAAAUUAGGCAAGGAGAAAUCCAACCUCACUGACUAACUGUGUCUUUUUAGUGGCCCACCGAGAGAAUAAAAGAGACAAAUGUGAAGCUCUGUGACUCUGCUGAGAUUUUGCCGUUGACUUUUAUUGCUUGUGGAUCACCUCUGAGGAUCCUGGAGUGGGCUGCUGGGGGUCCUGCUCUGAGCAAUGGCUGCUAAAAAAAUAUAUUGCUUUUUUGUUGGCAUCCUGCCUUGAUUGAUGAGAUGUUAGCAGCCCCUAAGAAGGAGAAAAUCCAUAUGCCGAAGACGACCAUGGGCUCAAUUUCCUACAGAGGAAGAGUGUUGGAUGAAGCAUAGAAACAGGAAAAUGACUUCAAUGUUUCAGAUGCUUCAGACACUGGAAUAUCUUGGGCUAUCAAAACAGAACACAACAGUCAUGAUCAGAAACAUUUUGCUUUAG